GCAGAACAAGAGAGAGAGAGAAGCAAAGCUAAUUGGAUUGUUUCAAUGUUAGGGUUUGGGUUCCAUACUCUCUGGUAUCCCAAAAUGGCGAGAGCCGCUACCAGGAAGAGGACGAUCAUGUUUGGAUUCUCUGUACAUUUCUUAUCAGUGGAUAGGUAUAGCAGCGACGCAUUUUGGCGGAGAACUAAAAGGGGUUCUUCUUCUUCCCCGCUCCUUCCAUCCCAUUACCAGGAAGAGGAGGAAGAGGACGAUCAUGGCUGUUGUUCGUCUAUGUAAGAGAGUGCAAGCAACAAGCAGAAGAAGAGAGAGAGAAGCAAAAAUGGUUUUCUAAUUGGAUUGUUUCAGUGUUAGGGUUUGGGUUCCGUACUCUCUGGUAUCCCAAAAUGGCGAGAGCCGCUACCAGGAAGAGGACGAUCAUGUUUGGAUUCUCCGUACAUUUCUCAUCAGUGGAUAGGAAUAGCAGCGCCGCAUUUUGGCGGAGAACUAAAAGGGGUUCUUCUUCUUCCCCGCUCCUUCCAUCCCAUUAUUAGGAAGAGGAGGAAGAGGACGAUCAUGGCUGUUGUUCGUCUAUGUAACUUUGUGUUGGUAUCUUGAUAGUGUGAAGAUUACAAAUGAUUGCUAACAUCUCCAAACCUUUGAGACAUGCUGGAACUAAUGCUGUUACAAAAGAAAUGUUGGGAUAUGAUCCCCAAGAGGUGAAUCCUGAGGAUAUGGUACGCUUUUGCCAUGAAAUUCCCCAGGUAUGUUGACUGGAAAUGGUUUUGAGGGUGGCUUUUUGUUCAUCUCACUGAAUUGGUGCAGCCAUGAGUGACGGAAUUCAUGAAAUAUCGUGGGUAUAAUGAAAUUAGAA